rnacentral:rRNA from 1 species
AGCCCAGAUCAUCAGCUAAGGCCCCUAAUUCAGGACUAAGUGGAAAACGAUGUGGAUUUGCACAGACAGCCAGGAGGUUGGCUUAGAAGCAGCCAUCCUUGAAAGAGUGCGUAACAGCUCACUGGUCGAGUGAAUCUGCGCGGACAAUUUAACGGGGCUCAAGUCCUGAGCCGAAGCUAUGGAUUUCAACACUUUGUGUUGGAGUGGUAGAGGAGCGUUGAUGGAGCGACUGAAGCGGCGGGAUAACCCGACGUGGAGUUCCAUCAAGUGAGAAUGUAGGCAUGAGUAGCGAGAGAGGAGUGAGAAACUCCUCCGCCGUAAGCCCAAGGGUUCCUGGGGAAGGCUAAUCCUCCCAGGGUAAGUCGGGAGCUAAGACGAGGCCGCGAGGCGUAGUCGAUGCACAACUGGUUGAUAUUCCAGUACCGCCAUAUACGCGCCAAGCUCAAUAUCGACAAAGUGGGGGCUGCCUUCGGGCGAACCUGCCUAGUUGGUUGCGGGUAACUGAAGGGGGACGCAGAAGGAUAGGUGAACCGGGGCGAUGGUAGUCCCCGGGUAAGUGCGUAGGAGGAUCCCGAUGAGAGUUGGGGUCACAUACUCUGAGACACGAUGCCGAGCACAUUUGUGCGAAGUCACUAAUUCCAUACUGCCAAGAAAAGCCCAGCAGUGAGUAGAUAUGGCGCCCGUACCCCAAACCGACGCAGGUGGGCGGGUAGAGAAUACCAAGGCGAUCGGGAGAACUAUGGUUAAGGAACUCGGCAAAAUGCCUCCGUAACUUCGGAAGAAGGAGGACCCACGUAGGGUGAAGCGACUUCGCGUCGCCAGCCUGAAUGGGUGGCACAGAGCAGGGGGUAGCGACUGUUUAACAAAAACACAGCAGCGUGCGAAGCCGCAAGGCGCUGUAUACGCUGUGACGCCUGCCCAAUGCUGGAAGGUCACGGGGAACGGUUAGUCGAAAGGCGAAGCUGUGAACCUAAGCCCCAGUGAAUGGCGGCCGUAACUAUAACGGUCCUAAGGUAGCGAAAUUCCUUGUCGGGUAAGUUCCGACCUGCACGAAUGGCGUAACGACUUCCCCGCUGUCUCAACCAUAGACCCGGCGAAAUUGAAGUACGAGUAAAGAUGCUCGUUUGCUGCGGAAGGACGGAAAGACCCCGUGGACCUUUACUAUAACUUGAUGUUGAGCUUUGAAAUGGGCUGUGUAGGAUAGGUGGGAGACUGUGAAGCAGGUGCGCUAGCACUUGUGGAGUCAUUGGUGAAAUACCACCCUGCGUAUUUUGGAGCUCUAACUUUGGUCCGUAAUCCGGAUCAGGGACAGCGUCAGGCGGGUAGUUUGACUGGGGCGGUCGCCUCCUAAAUUGUAACGGAGGCGCUCA